ACCUUUCCCGGCCUUUAACAUCGUUGGACUCCCGUGGAGACGGGGUAUUUCCUUCGGGAGCCGCCAGACAGGUGCUGCAUGGCUGUCGUCAGCUCGUGUCGUGAGAUGUUGGGUUAAGUCCCGCAACGAGCGCAACCCUUGUCCUUAGUUGCCAGCGAGUAAGGUCGGGCACUCUAGGGAGACUGCCGGGGAAAUCCGGGAGGAAGGUGGGGAUGACGUCAAGUCAUCAUGGCCUUUAUGUCCAGGGCUACACACGUGCUACAAUGGUCGGUACAAAGGGCUGCAACCCCGCGAGGGGGAGCCAAUCCCAAAAAACCGUCCCCAGUCCGGAUUGCAGUCUGCAACUGGACUGCAUGAAGUCGGA
rnacentral:rRNA from 1 species